rnacentral:lncRNA from 10 species
GUAGACAAAGACAUGAUGUCAUGAGAAUAUUUGCCAGCCUUUAGAGAGGGGAGGAUAAGCCUUCUAGUUAGAGAAGUAACACAUAGGAAGAGGCAGAAAGUAUGGUAUGCUCAGGAACUGGACAUGGUUCUCGGCGAUUGGAGUGUGAAGUAGGAAAGGAAGGAUGCUGUGGUCAGACAACAGCUCUUCGGUGUUAAAGCCACAAGACCAAGAGCAGACACAGCAUCCAGAAGAAAACCUCUAUUGGCAAGCACAAGACAGUGAUCACAGAUGUGGCCCCAGACGACGGAAGGACAGGAGUGCAGCACGCUGAAAUGUCGGAAUACUACACGCCUGCAAUUGCCUUUCCCUCUGGCAUUUAAUGAGAAAUAAAAAGCACAUGUGAA